ensembl:lncRNA
CCUGUCUUCCAGCAUAACAGGAGAUCAAGUGGAUAAUAAAAACAGCUGGAAAAGAGCUCCAGGAAAAGAAUGUAAAGAAGUAAAAUAGAGCACAACUAAAAAAAAAAAAAUUGUAUUUUCCCAGAAGGACUUUAAUGGAAUAGGUAAAAAGAAUUGAAAUACUACGACCCAGCAGUAGUUGUGCUCUAUAGGUGAAUUAUCACUGGUUUAAUAGUGUGAUGGCAAACCUAAUUUUCUAAGGAAACAAUACAGCAGACAGACUUCAAGUUUUGAAAAUGCUUUUUGUGAGUUCCCUGCCCAGAGAGCUGCAAGGCUUUACUACAGAAGGUUGCACAGGCUUGAAUAUCUCUUGGGAUUUGGGCUCUCUGUACUAGGGUUCUGAAUACUUCUCCUGAUCAUUUCAGAGAUCUACUUUCUUUGAGAUUUUUAUGUACUUCAUCUUUUUGUACCUCUUUAAAAUUUUUACUCGUUUCUCAGUUGUAGUACAAAUUAGGACUAAUUCCAUGGGACUCAGCAGUGCUCAUCAUGAAGCCUGCUUCAGUGAAACAGUGCUUUUUAAACUAAAAAAAAAAAAUUGUUUUUCCAGCAGCAUCGGCAUUUCCUCCUCCUCCCCAAAUCACUUCACCUUUUCCCAGUCAUCUGUUCUUUUGGCUAUUAUUUGAAGUACACCAGUAACAAUAUUGAUGUAAGUUCAGUCCAGAGUGCUUAAAAUAAUAGAAAGCCACAGGCAAACCCCUUUGCUUCUUUUUGUACUCCGUGUGGAACUGUUAGCACAAUAGCUGAGGGCUGAUAAUGAGCAAUCCUGUUGCGAAGGAUCCUGGAACAGUAAGCUGUUUUUGCAGGCCGAUCCAAAGUAUAAAGAAGUUAAUGGAUGGCUUUAUUCUUUGGGCUCCAAGGUUAUGCGAUGGUAUCAGGUUUUCAAAGGAUGUAUAAUAAGAGAAUUGUUCGGGAGAGAUAACAGCAAUUUGUGGCUGCAUGGGUAUAAUGUGCUAUUCAUUCUGAAAUCUUUUAGCAUGCAGUAAAAUAGGCAAAUAGGUAAACUUGUUUGCCAAGGAAUUUAACGCAAGAGAAAAGUAAUAUUUUUGGAAGGGCUGUAUUCCUUGACUGGUGUAUCCUACUUGCACAUCUGACAGCAAAUUUUGGCUGCUGAUGGGAAAAGUGCUUUCAAUCAAGGUAGCAGGAUGUGCAGAAUUACCAGAAAAGACAAAAACCUCAUGAAUGGUGUGAAAAAGAGAAGGAAACCAUGCAACACAGCAAAAAAGGAUGAACCUAUUCUCGAUCACACAUCCGCAGUCCAAUUGAUGUCUACAAGGGCUGCAUGAUUUAGUGCACACAAGCAGUAUUUACCUCAAAAGAUCUAAAAUAAUUGGGAGGGAAUUGUUGAUGACUAAUGGGGAAGUUCCAGUGAGAAGUACCAGGUUGUGCUUGAAAAUGUAGAAUGACUGAAAAUGAAAGUAAUUUGAUAACUGAAGACAAAGAGAAGGUCAGAAGUUGAAGGCACCAAUGGAAGUCAGAAGGAAAAGCAUGAGUGCUGGUGUUAUGUACAGGCCGAAAGAGAGCUCCGGCUUCAUACCCAGGAGCCCAAGAUAACAAUCUUGUGCCAAGAAGCAUGGCUCCAUUAUUGCUCUCCCACUAAUGCAAAGGAUAAUAGAAUCAGGGUGAUGCAGGUCUGGAAGGGGCCACAGUAAGGCCUUUAAUUGGUUUCCUGCCGAAAGGCAGAAUGUAUGGUACUUAACGCUAUUUCUGGUAAUUGUGCUCGGGCCUGUUCUUAAAGGCCUCCACUGAUGGAGGCCUUGCAGACUCACAGAAGAGAGCAGGGAGUGGUGAUGUGUGAUGUGGGCUAACAGGACAGAAAGGCAGGCAAGGGUGGGGAACCAGGAGGAUCUGAAGGUAAGAGUGUGAUUAAAAAGAAGAAAAAGUGACAAAUCUCAGCUAAACGUCAAGGGCAGAUGGGGUACUGAGGGGCAUGAGUAGUGGGCAUUGUGGUGAUGGGAUGAUGGUUGGACUAGAUGAUCUUAGAGGUCUUUUCCAACCUUAAUGAUUCUAUGAUCUACGUGAAAAAUCCAAAGAAUGUGGGGCAUAGGAUAGGAAAGACAAAACUGUUUGUCAGGAAUUAGCUGAGGAAAUGUGGUGUUCACACAGGAGGAAGUUAGGUAAGGGAAAGAGGACUUGUGUAACAGGAAAAGUGGGCUACUAUUGAAUUCCCUGCAUGUUUGAUUUUUUAAAACAAUGUUGGUUGCUUGACCACUGAUCACAUGGACACUCAUGCAACUUCCAACCUGAUGUCUCUGUAGAUAAACAGAUCACACAUCAUGAAUUGUCGUGGCCUAAUGGUGGCUGUUAUAACUGCCAGAGCCAUGAGUAAGGGGCUCAGAAUCAGCACUUGAGUGUUUCCAUAUCAAGAUGACAGGACAGCACAGUGAAGUAUGAAAACCUAGCCAGUGACUUGAAGUUCUUUCCUGGACGUCUGCCAAGUAAUGCUACUGCUGAGAGGCUGUUAAAUCACUGGGGAGAACUUUUUUUCUCAGAUCACGGAUUUUGUAUAUACAUUUUUACAAGCAAUUCAAAUCUACUGAAAAAUAGGAGACCAGUACCACUCGAGUACAACAUAGGCUGGUCCAGCACCCACGGCAGGACAGGGCUGGCCUGCAGAGGCUCAGGCCAUCUGCUGCAUCAGAUAUGGCGUUAGCUCCUCUGUGAUAAUGUCUUAACAUAUGGAGACUUCACCCCAGUCGCUGCCUCCUAAGGAAGCCUCUGAAAACUGAAUUGCCUCCAGAGCACCACACCGAACACCGUGCCCCUCCAUGUCAGCAGGUGUGAUUCAGACCGAUAGCUGCUGAGGGCAACAGACUGAGCAGUAAUUAGCUGCUGUUAGUCAUCCUCUUCCCAAGUAAGAGUGGUAUAACAUUUGAUUAUUUCAACACAGUUGGAUGUGGGAGGGAAGGUAGGCCUGGAAACAUUCUCCUGACAGCAUUCUUCUCUGCUCUUUUAAGACACCUCUUGUGCCAACAUUCAGCGCAGCGUUUCAAGUAAAAUGCUAUUUCCUCUUGUAGGGCUGUGAGGAAAAAAUGCUGUCACAGGUUUUGUAACAAACAUUAGGUAAGCAAUAACUGCAUCUGUUGUGCAACAUGGGAUUCAGGUAGGAAAACAGUCCAUAGAUGGCUAACUGAGAGGCAUUGCGUGUCUCAACAACCUGGAGAAGGUGAGAUCAGCACUGAAUCUGGGUCUGGGUUGAGUAUGUUAGUGGGGCAAUUUCACACUGGUAAGUGUGAAGAACAAAAAGGGAAAGUUCUUAGAGAGGAAGAUAUUGAACUGACGCUGCUGAAGAAAAUGUGGAUUACUUGUGUUGAGCUGUGCUCUUCUUAUUACCUUCUCAUAACACUGUGUAAGCGCUCAGUAGUCUGCCUUCAGCAAGUUGUUUUUCUGGUAUACAUCUCACCUACCGUGCAGUGUUAAGCCUGUUGUUAACGGUGGUGUUGGUUCAUAUUAUUAAAAACAUAACCUCUAAACAGAAAGAAAAAAAAAAUACGCACACACAAAAAAGGUUUUGUGAGGAUUUCACUACACUUUGUUUUUUCUCUUCCUGCCUAAAUAUUUCAUCCUACUCCUGAAUUCACAAUGACCCAGAAGUCUGAGAGCUGCCUUUCUCUUACUUUUCUCUUGGGCAAACAAGACCAAAAUUCCUGUCUAUCUUUUGCCUGGAAUACCGAACCUCUCUUGGAAGGUCUUUGUGUUUGUCUCCACAAAAUCCUGGAGAUAGAACAACCUUGGAGGGAAGAAACUUGUUUAGGGAUAUGAGAUGUCGACAGAUCUUGAGCAACUAAAAUGUCCUCAAAAUCCACAGAGUACGUUUCUGAGGCGUUAAAGAAGUUUUAAUGAGGAAAUGUCCCAUGUGUAAUAAAAUUGGGCUUAUUUUGGGAGGGCUUACGGAGAAUCAAAUGAAAACUAUUUGGGAUUCUAACAUUCCCAUAUCUGGACUAAGAGUGUCCACUGCACAAGCACAGCCUGCAUUGCUGUUUUAUGUCUGCCUAUGAUCAGCUUUUUUACAGCAAAAUAUUACACUCUUACCAAGCAAACUUGAAAGAGAAAGGAAUUCAGACACCAAGCUAAAUAUAUGUUCUGAAAUUGCUUAGUCCAGCAUUUAGAGCAUAUUGUUGUAGGCUUGCAUUUAAAAAAAGACUCUGAACCAGCCAGCUGAGUGAGCUGAGCUGCUAGCGAGCAGAUCAGAAACCACGCCAUAGUGGUGGUUACUUCCCCUUCUUGCACAAAGACCUCAGCAACAUUGAUAAAACGAUAUGAACCGCCUAACGCAUUGGCAUGGUGUACAGGUGCUACCAGUUUUACAGGUGCUAAAAGGGUGUAUAUCUUGGUUUUGAAACAUGAGGGGUGGAUGACCAAGAAAGUGUCCAUAUUCUGGCUGUGAAAAUGACAGACGUAAAUUGACAUGAGUUUUGUGUUUUUUUUUAAACCAAUAUUUGUAACUAUUCCAUAUAUUGUCUGUGAGGAACACAUUACUCUUAGAGCCAGGGAGAUGGAUUUGGUGUGUAGCAGUUUGCACAAAUACUCAGUUUCAUGUUCUAAUGUGUCUCUCAUCAGUGUUUUAACUCUGUAUAUUUUGAGUGUUGUUUUGGGAUUGUAACUGAAAUAACGCCAAGUAAUGCAGUAUCAGCUCUAUCUUACUGGGAGAUUAUUCCAUAUUCAAACAUAUUCAAACUUUUCCAUCUUUCCAUUCCAUUAUUCACCCUGGUAGUUCUAAUAUUACUUUCCUGUAUUACAUUAACCCUCUCUGGGGUUUUAUGCUUUAAAUAUUUAUAGGCUGCUAUAAUGCCCAAAUAAUCUCAUUUCAAGUCCUGCAGAAUAAUUGUACAGUAAAAAUACAUUUUAACAGAACUUUAAGCCGUUGAAGGAGGUAAAAAAUUGCUUUGUGAAGAAGAAAUCUUUGCAGCAUUGUAGUUGACUUCCUUUUCUUGAUAGUGUUACUUUAGAACUGACUGUCAGUACAGGAUAGAUAUUGUGAGAUACGUUAUAUAUAUAUGGCACAGUGAGAGGACAAAAAAAAAUGCAGAUUCAAGAAAUAACCAUCAUUUUUCUGAUAUGUCUGACAACAUACAGAAUAUUUGAAUUUGGGCAAAGAAGCAAAGCACCAACCAGGAUUUUUUCACAGUGAGGAGGAAAGCUUCUGCAGAUGCUGAGCACAGAAUUUACACCAACUGAGACAUUUGUGUGAUUUGUGCCUCAUGCUAUCUUGGGCUGCAGCCAAAAGUGUAAGCUGCUCAGAGCCUGUUUGAGUCCCCUGACAUUACAUAUUCCCUGUAAAGCAAGAUGUUUUUAAAAAGUAAUUUACUUGCUGUGAUAUUAGAAGUCCUAAUGAGUGGAUCUAUACUUCCUUCUGGGUCUUUUGCAAACCUCGUAAUGAAUGUUGUGUAAUCUCUGUUGCUUGAUUAUAGAUCUAAUUUUGGAUACUGAUGUUUGAUUUGGAGAUUUUUAGUACUUUAGGAAAGACCAGAAUGAUUUGCAUUUCCAUGGCCUGCAUUGUUUUGAAUCUUAAUUGCUGUCCCUUAAUCACAUAAUCACUAGGAACUUGAAACUUCAGACACUUACUGUUGUUUGCACAGCAGGACUGUUGGUAGGGCUAAGGACUGUUUCCCAUCUGAAGUGUUUGCAGAUUUGCAUCCUGUCUCCAGCUGUAAUGGAGAGGACAAUGAUUUGGGCAAAGGCGCGGGGAAUAAACAGCUCAUGGUUCUGGUUUCAGGCACGGGGAGGAGCUAAGCCCUGCAUCCCAAACAGGGUGGCACCAACCAGAGGAAAUGAGCCUGACUCAUCAGAAAGCUUUAAUAAUUUGCCC